UACGUAGGGGGCUAGCGUUGUCCGGAAUCAUUGGGCGUAAAGAGCGUGUAGGCGGCCCGGUAAGUCCGCUGUAAAAGUCAAAGGCUCAACCUUUGAAUGUCAGUGGAUACUGCCGGGCUAGAGUCCGGAAGAGGCGAGUGGAACUCCUGGUGUAGCGGUGGAAUGCGCAGAUAUCAGGAAGAACACCAACGGCGAAGGCAGCUCGCUGGGACGGUACUGACGCUGAGACGCGAAAAGCGUGGGGAGGCGAACAGG
rnacentral:rRNA from 1 species